rnacentral:rRNA from 1 species
UGCCAGACUCCUAUGGGAGGCAGCAGUGGGGAAUAUUGCACAAUGGGGGAAACCCUGAUGCAGCGACGCCGCGUGAGUGAAGAAGUAUUUCGGUAUGUAAAGCUCUAUCGGCAGGGAAGAAAAUGACGGUACCUGACUAAGAAGCCCCGGCUAACUACGUGCCAGCAGCCGCGGUAAUACGUAGGGGGCAAGCGUUAUCCGGAUUUACUGGGUGUAAAGGGAGCGUAGACGGCAGCGCAAGUCUGAAGUGAAAACCCAUGGCUUAACCAUGGAACUGCUUUGGAAACUGUGCAGCUGGAGUGCAGGAGAGGUAAGCGGAAUUCCUAGUGUAGCGGUGAAAUGCGUAGAUAUUAGGAGGAACACCAGUGGCGGAGGCGGCUUACUGGACUGUAACUGACGUUGAGGCUCGAAAGCGUGGGGAGCAAACAGGAUUAGAUACCCUCGUA